CCUACGGGUGGCAGCAGUGAGGAAUAUUGGUCAAUGGGCGCGAGCCUGAACCAGCCAAGUAGCGUGAAGGAUGACUGCCCUACGGUUUGUAAACUUCUUUUAUAAAGGAAUAAAGUGAGGCACGUGUGCCUUUUUGCAUGUACCCUAUGAAUAAGGAUCGGCUAACUCCGUGCCAGCAGCCGCGGUAAUACGGAGGAUCCGAGCGUUAUCCGGAUUUAUUGGGUUUAAAGGGUGCGUAGGUGGGUUGUUAAGUCAGAUGUGAAAGUUUGCGGCUCAACCGUAAAAUUGCAAUUGAUACUGGCAGUCUUGAGUAUAGUUGAGGUAGGCGGAAUUCGUGGUGUAGCGGUGAAAUGCUUAGAUAUCACGAAGAACUCCGAUUGCGAAGGCAGCUUACUAAACUACAACUGACAUUGAUGCGCGAAAGUGUGGGUAUCAAACAGGAUUAGAUACCCCGGUAGUC
rnacentral:rRNA from 1 species